rnacentral:rRNA from 1 species
UACGUAGGGGCGAGCGUUGUCCGGAGUACUGGGCGUAAGCGCACGCAGGCGGUCUGCUAAGUUUGGAGUGACAGUUGGUGGCUUAACUGCCAAAGUGCUUCGAAACUGACAGACUUGAGGGCUUCAGAGGACACGGAGUCCGGGUGGAGUGGUGAAAUGCGUAGAGAUCCGGAGGAACACCAAAGGCGAAGGCAGUGUCCUGGGAGUACCUGACGCUCAGGUGACGAAAGCCAGGGAGGCGAACGGG